CUUGCUUCUCUUGAGAGCGGCGGACGGGUGAGUAAUGCCUAGGAAUCUGCCUGGUAGUGGGGGAUAACGUCCGGAAACGGACGCUAAUACCGCAUACGUCCUACGGGAGAAAGCAGGGGACCUUCGGGCCUUGCGCUAUCAGAUGAGCCUAGGUCGGAUUAGCUAGUUGGUGGGGUAAUGGCUCACCAAGGCGACGAUCCGUAACUGGUCUGAGAGGAUGAUCAGUCACACUGGAACUGAGACACGGUCCAGACUCCUACGGGAGGCAGCAGUGGGGAAUAUUGGACAAUGGGCGAAAGCCUGAUCCAGCCAUGCCGCGUGUGUGAAGAAGGUCUUCGGAUUGUAAAGCACUUUAAGUUGGGAGGAAGGGCAGUAAAUUAAUACUUUGCUGUUUUGACGUUACCGACAGAAUAAGCACCGGCUAACUCUGUGCCAGCAGCCGCGGUAAUACAGAGGGUGCAAGCGUUAAUCGGAAUUACUGGGCGUAAAGCGCGCGUAGGUGGUUCGUUAAGUUGGAUGUGAAAUCCCCGGGCUCAACCUGGGAACUGCAUUCAAAACUGACGAGCUAGAGUAUGGUAGAGGGUGGUGGAAUUUCCUGUGUAGCGGUGAAAUGCGUAGAUAUAGGAAGGAACACCAGUGGCGAAGGCGACCACCUGGACUGAUACUGACACUG
rnacentral:rRNA from 1 species